GGACAGGACCCUGAACGGACCCCAGGUACAGGCCAUGUCCUGCAGCUCUAUGCAAAGACAUCUGCUUGUCUCUCACUGUACUUGGCUCUACAAGGACCUUGUUUACUUUCUUGUUUUCUUUGGAAGGCUUUCAGGACAUGUCACCCCAAAAAUGUGCCACUUUGAUGUAUUAAUUACUUUGAAAUGAAGACACAUGAAAAAGAGUGCACUGGACCCAAGACGUUCCAGAGUCACCAGCGCCGCCCUGAAGGAGGCACCAUCACCACAG